AGGGAUAUAGAUCAGUGGCACAGUACCUGCCUGGUAAGCAUGAGGCUCUGGGCUCGAUUCCCAGUAUUCCAC
rnacentral:tRNA from 1 species